AGAGUUUGAUCCUGGCUCAGGAUGAACGCUAGCUACAGGCUUAACACAUGCAAGUCGAGGGGAAACGACAUCGAAAGCUUGCUUUUGAUGGGCGUCGACCGGCGCACGGGUGAGUAACGCGUAUCCAACCUGCCCACCACUUGGGGAUAACCUUGCGAAAGUAAGACUAAUACCCAAUGAUAUCUCUAGAAGACAUCUGAAGGAGAUUAAAGAUUUAUCGGUGAUGGAUGGGGAUGCGUCUGAUUAGCUUGUUGGCGGGGUAACGGCCCACCAAGGCGACGAUCAGUAGGGGUUCUGAGAGGAAGGUCCCCCACAUUGGAACUGAGACACGGUCCAAACUCCUACGGGAGGCAGCAGUGAGGAAUAUUGGUCAAUGGGCGAGAGCCUGAACCAGCCAAGUAGCGUGCAGGAUGACGGCCCUAUGGGUUGUAAACUGCUUUUAUAAGGGAAUAAAGUGAGUCUCGUGAGACUUUUUGCAUGUACCUUAUGAAUAAGGACCGGCUAAUUCCGUGCCAGCAGCCGCGGUAAUACGGAAGGUCCGGGCGUUAUCCGGAUUUAUUGGGUUUAAAGGGAGCGUAGGCCGGAGAUUAAGCGUGUUGUGAAAUGUAGACGCUCAACGUCUGCACUGCAGCGCGAACUGGUUUCCUUGAGUACGCACAAAGUGGGCGGAAUUCGUGGUGUAGCGGUGAAAUGCUUAGAUAUCACGAAGAACUCCGAUUGCGAAGGCAGCUCACUGGAGCGCAACUGACGCUGAAGCUCGAAAGUGCGGGUAUCGAACAGGAUUAGAUACCCUGGUAGUCCGCACGGUAAACGAUGGAUGCCCGCUGUUGGUCUGAAUAGGUCAGCGGCCAAGCGAAAGCAUUAAGCAUCCCACCUGGGGAGUACGCCGGCAACGGUGAAACUCAAAGGAAUUGACGG
rnacentral:rRNA from 1 species